AAUACUAACAAUAAAAAUAACAAAAUAAGCAGCCAUUUGAAAAAGACUGCAGCACGUUCAGCUGCAUCGGGGUGCUGUUUUCUCCCCUCCUGGGGAGGGGGAGCCAAGGCCAGCCCCCUCCCAUAGCCAGCUCUGGCCGCAGUUCGGACAGUUCCUGCUGCCCGCUGGUAUAAUCAAUAGCGGCCGCACAGCCAGACGGUUGCACACAGCCCACACACUUGGCACAGAAACAAGUGCUUUUCUGGGAAAAACGGGGUGCGAGGGCAGGAUACAAGUGUCCCUGCUAUCUGCAGGCAGCCGUCCCUGCUCUCGGUAUCUCCUCCUGGAUACGGGCCCUCCUCCAGGGGCAUUUUCAUAGACGGCUGGGAGGAGACUCCCCAGCACCGUGUUUAGCCUGAUAUUUCAUCUCCCCCCUCUGUGGAGAGAGUGGUCCCUCUCUGGCCUUUUAAUCUCCCUUCUGGAAAACAGCCUGGGGACGAAACAGAAGAUGACCUUUAAAAGAAGACCCGUGGAUUGCCACCACGAUGCCUAGACAGCAUGGAAUCUAGAGUGCCCAGAAUGAUCUAUUUCAGCCCUUCCUCCUCUUGGAUCUUUGAGGAGAGCCAGAAGAAUCUGAAGUCGGUCUGUGAAAGGAGGCAGAGACUUAAUGACUAUCCACCACACAUCGCUGAUCAGCACCUGCUGAGCGUCUCCAUUCCUCUGCACUUGCCCAGGAGAUUUACAAACUCAGCUUCACCUGCAGAGCCAGACAGCACCCCCAACUCUUCCCCUGAUACCCCCAAAAGAUGUACCCAAUUAUUCCAGUAGCCAGCAGCCCAUAAGCGGUGAAGAUGCUGGUGCUUAGACAAAACACCCAUCCUGCUGCAUAGCGAGUGGGCUAUGUCCAGUGCUGGCUGCAAAGCAGCUCACAAACAGGGAACAAAAGGCAGGGCAGGGCAGAGCGGGAAGGUUCAGUACCUGGCAG